ACGUACGCUGGCGGCACGCCUAACACAUGCAAGUCGAACGAAGUAGCAAUACUUAGUGGCAGACGGGUGAGUAACAUGUAGGUAUCUGCCCUUUGGCCUGGAAUAACACGAGGAAACUUGUGCUAAUACCGGAUAAGUCUUUACGGAGAAAGCUUUAUGCACCAUUGGAUGAGCCUGCACUUGAUUAGUUUGUUGGUGGGGUAAUGGCCUACCAAGACUGUGAUCAAUAGCUGAUUUGAGAGGAUGAUCAGCCACAUUGGGACUGAGACACGGCCCAAACUCCUACGGGAGGCAGCAGUGGGGAAUCUUGCACAAUGGAGGAAACUCUGAUGCAGCGAUGCCGCGUGAGUGAAGAAGGCCCUUGGGUUGUAAAGCUCUUUCGUCGGGGAAGAAAAUGACUGUACCCGAAUAAGAAGGUCCGGCUAACUUCGUGCCAGCAGCCGCGGUAAUACGAAGGGACCUAGCGUAGUUCGGAAUUACUGGGCUUAAAGAGUUCGUAGGUGGUUGAAAUAGUUGGUGGUGAAAUCCCAGAGCUUAACUCUGGAACUGCCAUCAAAACUUUUCAGCUAGAGUAUGAUAGAGGAAAGCAGAAUUUCUAGUGUAGAGGUGAAAUUCGUAGAUAUUAGAAAGAAUACCAAUUGCGAAGGCAGCUUUCUGGAUCAUUACUGACACUGAGGAACGAAAGCAUGGGUAGCGAAGAGGAUUAGAUACCCUCGUAGUCCAUGCCGUAAACGAUGUGUGUUAGACGUUGGAAAUUUAUUUUCAGUGUCGCAGGGAAACCGAUAAACACACCGCCUGGGGAGUACGACCGCAAGGUUAAAACUCAAAUGAAUUGACGGGGACCCGCACAAGUAGUGGAGCAUGUGGUUUAAUUCGAAGAUACGCGCAGAACCUUACCAACACUUGACAUGUUCGUCGCGACUCUAAGAGAUUAGAGUUUUCGGUUCGGCCGGACGAAACACAGGUGCUGCAUGGCUGUCGUCAGCUCGUGUCGUGAGAUGUUGGGUUAAGUCCCGCAACGAGCGCAACCCUCACUUUUAGUUGCCAUCAUUAAGUUGGGCACUCUGAAAGAACUGCCAGUGAUAAGCUGGAGGAAGGUGGGGAUGACGUCAAGUCCUCAUGGCCCUUACGUGUUGGGCUACACACGUGCUACAAUGGUAUCUACAACAGGAAGCAAGACUGCGAAGUUAAGCAAAUCCCUAAAAGAUACCUCAGUUCGGAUUGCACUCUGCAACUCGAGUGCAUGAAGCUGGAAUUACUAGUAAUCGUGGAUCAGCGUGCCACGGUGAAUGCGUUCCCGGGUCUUGUACACACCGC
rnacentral:rRNA from 1 species